rnacentral:rRNA from 1 species
ACAUGUCUUUUAGAAAAUAAUUUAAAGUCAAAUCUGCUCAAUGAUUAAAAUUAAAUAGCUGCAGAAAUUUAACUGUACAAAGGUAGCAUAAUCAAUAGUUUUUUAAUUAAAAGCUGGUAUGAAUGAUUUAAUAAAGUAAAUAUUGUCUCAAACUUAAUAGUAGUAAAAAUUUUUUUUUAGUAAAAAUACUAAAAUGAUUUUAAAAGACGAGAAGACCCUAUAGAUUUUUAUAUUUUAAUAUAAAAAAAUUUAAAUAUUAAAAAAUAAAUUUUAUAUGAUGAAUAUUUGAUUGGGGUAAUUAUUAAAUUAAAAAAAUUUUAAUAUAUAUAUUAAUGAUUAUGAUUAUAAAAUAUUUGAUUUUAAUUAAAAAUAAAAAGAAAAAAAUACCUUAGGGAUAACAGCGUAAUUUUUUUUGAGAGAUCUUAUUGAUAAAAAAGAUUGCGACCUCGAUGUUGAAUUAAGAUAAAAUUUUAAUGUAGAAGUUAAAAAUUUUUGGUCUGUUCGACCAUUAAAAUCUUACGU